ACAUAGCUCAGUGAUGAAGCAUCUGACUGCAAAUCAGGAGGUCCUAGGUCUAAAUCCAGGUGU
rnacentral:tRNA from 1 species